rnacentral:misc_RNA from 1 species
UCCCCGUUACCGGGGCAGUCUGAAUAGAAAAAUUCAACUAUCCAUAAGGGUUGCGCUCGUUGAUGGACUUAACCAAACAUCUCACGACACGAGCUGACGACGGCCAUGCAACACCUGUCUUUGGGUUCCCGAAGGCACUCUCGGCUUUCGCCAAAAUUCCCAAGAUGUCAAGCCUUGGUAAGGUUCUUCGCUUACCAUCGAAUUAAACAACACGCUCCACCGCUUGUGCGGGUCCCCGUCAAUUCCUUUGAGUUUUAGUCUUGCGACCGUACUCCCCAGGCGGGAUGCUUAACGCGUUAGCUUCGCUACAUACCGGGUCGAUACGGCAUACAGCUAGCAUCCAUAGUUUACGGCGUGGACUAC